UUACGGCCAUAUCACAAUUAAACACAGGUUCACGAAUGAACACGGAAGUUAAGCAACGUUGAGCCAUAUCAGUACCUAGAUGUGUGACGCUUGUGAAUACCAGGUAUAGUAU